rnacentral:rRNA from 1 species
GACAGAGGGUGCAAACGUUGUUCGGAAUUACUGGGCGUAAAGCGCGUGUAGGCGGCUUUGCAAGUCGGGCGUGAAAUCCCACGGCUCAAUCGUGGAAGUGCACUCGAAACUGCAGAGCUAGAGUCCUGGAGAGGAAGGUGGAAUGCUUGGUGUAGAGGUGAAAUUCGUAGAUAUCAAGCGGAACACCGGUGGCGAAGGCGGCCUUCUGGACAGUGACUGACGCUGAGACGCGAAAGCGUGGGGAGCAAACAGG